GUGUAUCGACUAAAAUAGGAGAGGAACAGCUUAAGGGAGAUUGACUUUACUGACUGGGAAGGUUAUAGGGGGUUGGGGGCUAGGCGUAGCCCCUUCCUUUGGAUAGCACAGCUAUAGCAGGACAAUAGAAGAAGGGAUGGGCAGUGUAGAUAAGCUGCAACUAGCUGAUCCUAAAUAGGCUAGCACAGGGAUUGGCCAGGAGGGGGAGAGGGGGUAUGAACAGGAGUUGAGGAAAUUAACUGCCUAUAAAGAUGAUUGCACAAUGCUUGGAGCUCACAAUAAUUAUUUUCUUUUUUCAGAGCAGAGCAGUUUUCUUUGUUGCAGAAAUGGCUCCAAGGAACAGGAUAAUUGCUAAGAAAUUGGGAAAGAACUUUGUAUACUGAAGUCUCAUUCAUUGUUACAUUUCUAGCUGAAAUGACGAAGCCUAGCCCAAGGAAGAGGUCACGCACAAGAGCGAUCACAAGCGACACGGCUAAGGGCAGAUGCUGUGGUGUUUCCGACACUCAGAUUAAGACCGCCCGUGUAGCGCCCCUUAAGGGUUUUUUUGCCACGAAGCAGGAAAUCAGCUACUGGUCUGUCGGUCAGAGCUGGUGGAUGGCAUAGAGAAAUCAUGGCAUUUUUAGUGGUAUAUUUCAUGACGCGGCGGGAAGUGGGCGUCCUGGCACGUGGGUAAUGCAGUAAUGGGGGGAGGUGUGUAGGGUACGGGGGCGGGGUAUUGGUCUGUCGGUCAAACCCACAAGCCCUCCUAGUCUGCAGACCUUUCGGCCCGUUACUAGCAAAUUGACGCCCCUGAGUUGCGCGCGGUCACGCUCCUUGGUUACGUGGGGACGCCCAGUUCUCUCGUCAUGCUGUUGCAUGAAUUGUGUUAUCAAUUCAAAUCCAAAUUGGAUUAAGGAUAUGUUAUUAUCCUAGUAGUUGAGGAUCGCUCAUUUUUCAUAAUUUAGAUUUGAAUUUAAUAAAUGUGACCUUUUCUAACGCCAAA